AACGGCCGUACCAUGCUGAAUAUACCGGUUCUCGUUAGAUCACCGAAGUUAAGCAUCAUUGGGCGCGGUCAGUACUUGGGCGGGUGACCACCUGGGAACACUGCGUGCCGUU
rnacentral:rRNA from 1 species